rnacentral:rRNA from 1 species
ACGGGUGAGUAAUAUAUCGGAACGUACCCUAGAGUGGGGGAUAACGUAGCGAAAGUUACGCUAAUACCGCAUACGAUCUCAGGAUGAAAGCAGGGGACCGCAAGGCCUUGUGCUCCUGGAGCGGCCGAUAUCUGAUUAGCUAGUUGGUAGGGUAAAAGCCUACCAAGGCAUCGAUCAGUAGCUGGUCUGAGAGGACGACCAGCCACACUGGAACUGAGACACGGUCCAGACUCCUACGGGAGGCAGCAGUGGGGAAUUUUGGACAAUGGGCGCAAGCCUGAUCCAGCAAUGCCGCGUGAGUGAAGAAGGCCUUCGGGUUGUAAAGCUCUUUUGUCAGGGAAGAAACGGGUCUUUCUAAUACAGAGAUCUAAUGACGGUACCUGAAGAAUAAGCACCGGCUAACUACGUGCCAGCAGCCGCGGUAAUACGUAGGGUGCAAGCGUUAAUCGGAAUUACUGGGCGUAAAGCGUGCGCAGGCGGUUUUGUAAGACUGUCGUGAAAUCCCCGGGCUCAACCUGGGAAUGGCGUUGGUGACUGCAAGGCUAGAGUUUGGCAGAGGGGGGUAGAAUUCCACGUGUAGCAGUGAAAUG